GACAGAUUACACUGAGGGUGAUCUAUUGUAAAUUGUAACUGUAAUUCACACCCCUGUCCAGUUGGUGGCGAGUGCGCUCCAAUGUAGCAGCAGAGCACUGGAUCCAGAACAAAAAUUAAACUGGCACGAAUCUUUUGCUAUGCGCUUAAUACCGCACAGGCGAGUACCCAGAAGCUACAACGAUAGCCUAUAUGACGCCACAUUAAAGAGCGCCAAAACGGUGCUGACCUGGACAUGUGGCAUGGAUCACACACCCAACCGCGGUCCUUCUUGUUAAAACGGCUGCAGGACUUGCAGACAAAUAGCUUGCAAUCCAGACACUGGCGCUUGUUGUUGACAAGGAAUUUGAAGGGUUGCAGACAGCGGAUGCAGAGUGAAUCACUGAGUUUAGGCUGAUAUUCCAGCAGCUCUCUCUUCUUGUGGAAUCCAACCAUUCAACCAUCUGAGGU